CCCUGUCGCCUGGGAGAAGAGGGGGUGCGCUCCUACCUGGCGGAGGAGAGCGGCUGUCACCAGGGCCAGCGCGGUGGAGCUGGCCUCCUUCUGCCCCCACGCGCGCCAGCCGGCGGCUUUUAAAUCUCCAGCUGUUGAACAGGGUCCCCGGAUACCCGUUUCCAGAAUACCUUCCACAAGAGCGGAACAAUGCAGGUGGGAAGCAGAGAACUGGGGGCCCAUGCUGGCCUGGUGUCUUUUUUCCUCCAUGGAGUUUUAUCCACAGGAAGGACAAAUCCAAUUGCUGUGGAUUGUUGACUUGAAUACUACAAAAUCACAGGAAGAUGCCUUUGAAGGGAGGACCUAGGGAGCUGUGGCCCCAGACUGGGCCCUGGGGGCCCUAGGUCCCAGUGCUGGCCCUGCCACCAACCAGGUAUGAUGUGGAGCAAGUCCCUUCCACAUUCUGGGCCUCUGUACAAAGAAAGAUUGGCCAGGUAAUCUGGCACCUCCAGAUUAAAGGCACCUCCAGCUGGGAGGCAAGGAAGAGUGGGAAACAGAGAAGAGACAGGAAUGAUGGAGCCCUGGUGUCCUGGGGAGCCCAGAGUGGAGGCAGAAGAGAACAGAGCAGAGAAGAAUCAAGAAUCUACAUUUUGAGUCACUCAACAAGUUCAGCCCGGAACCUGGGAAGCACUUACCCCUGCAGCAGAGUGUGAUACCUCGCUGGGGCUGGUUAGCCUUUACGAAGCCUGGAAAGUCGUGAAGAACUUGGAGUUUCCUUUAUGUUCCCCUCGCCUCUCGCCACCUCCACCUUACAAGGGCUGUGGCCCCCUUUGAGGUCUACUUACUUCUUCCCGGCCUACCUUAGGGUCAGGGGUGAACAGUCUUUUGAGUAUAAAGGCCACCGCAGGGCCAGAUCCUAGCUCCAGACUUGAUGGAGGAGGGAAGGGUCCCUGGACACAACAGUUCCAUUUCUGGGGUUCCACUUGUGGCACAAUAAUCUGAUAUGCAUGUCAAAGGUAUAUACAUAAUGUUUAUCUCAUCAUUCUUCAUAAUAGGCAGAAAUGAGAAACAAUCCAAGUGUAGAAUAGUAAGUUAUUGGCUAAGUGAAUUAUGGCAAAUCCAUAUAAUGGGACAUGUUGCUGCCAUUUAGAAGUGGUGACAACAGAGAAUUUUAAUUGAUGGAGGAAAUGUUUAUUUCCUCCAUCAAUUAAAACAGUGAAAACAGUGGCUACAAAAUAGUACUCAUGGUGGGAUAUACAUUUUUAAGGUAGGUAUAAACUAAUGCAAUGGGAUCUCCGGGACUGGAUCUUGGAACAGGAAAGGGACAGUAGAAAACUGGUGGAAACUGAGUAAGGUCUGCAGUUUCGUAAACAGUACUCCACCAGCAUUAAUAUCUCAGUUCGAUAACUGCACUGUGGUUAUGUUAACAUCAGGUGGAGGGGGAGCCUUUCUGUGUCUCAAAGUUUUCUAUGUGGAUUAAAAAUUGCUCUUGUAAAUAGAAAGAAAAGAACCAGUAAAUAUUAUUUUUAAAGGGAAAGAAUAAAAUAAAACAAAGGCAGAAAGAGGAAUGGGACAUACCACUGGGGUGCCCCCAGUGAGGGCCCCUGCCCCCACUUCUGUCCACAGGGCUGGGGUGAGGGAGACCAGGGACGUGAGCAGGAGAACCCCACCACUCUCGAGGCCUCCUUAAUGGGGAGGUUUGGCGCCGUUGGGUGAAGAAGUGAGUUGGAGCAGGGUUUGAGAGGUGAGAAGGAACUGGAGGGUUGUACACACGCACCUGGCCAUAUUCCUGCCACCACCCAGCACCCCUUGGGCACAGAAGAGAAGCUGAAGCCGCUGAAAGAAGGACGGGACAGCCCCACCUUCCCUCUCAAACCGAAAGUUUUGGAAGGACCAUGGCCUCUAGUUCCUGAGGUCACCAGUGCUGCCCCUGUCACUCCUAGAAGGUUGAGCCUUAGAAUUGCUGGUGAGCCCUGACCUGUGUGGCUCAGUUGGCUGGGCAUUGUCCAGCAAAGUGAAAGGUUGCUGGUUCGAUUCCCAGUCAGGGCACAUGCCUGGGUUGUGGGUUCGGUCCCCCAUUGGGGUGCGUGGGAAAGGCAAUUGAUAAAUGUUUCUGCCCCACAUUGAUGUUCACCUCCCUCCCUUCCUCUCCCUGUACCAGUAAAUAAACACAAUCUUUAAAAAAAUUGCUGGUGAACAUAGCCCCCAUGAUGUAACUGUGGACAGUUCAAUCUGAGUG